CAGAAUACUCAUGAUACAAUGCUGUGACUUCCAAUGUCUGACUUGUCCCCAAAGGUAUUUUCUAGUAAACAUUUUAACAUUAGCCUAGACAUUUUAGAAACACACCAUCUUUACUCUUGUUUAAGUGUAUAACACUCUUAGAAAUAAGCAAGCAGAUCAAUUUACACUUGCUGUUACCUAUAAUAAUAAGGAAUAUCCUUAUAAAAUUACAGACUUAAAACUUUGGGAACCAGGAACUUUGAAACACCACACUAGUUAUUUAGAUCUGUAACAGAAUACCUGUGACACACCUAGAUGAGAAAAUCAUCAGAGGUGUAAAAUCACUGCUGUGCAUAAAAUUACUACGUUCAUCUUAUGGUGAAAUGAAGAGUGGAGUCCAGCACUCCAAAGCAAUCUUCAGGGACCCAGAAGUGCAUUGCUGAAUCCUACUUAUGACUCUAAAGAGUGAUUAUCCCCAAAGAAGCCUGAUGAGCAAUGGUCCUGAAAAAGGACAGAAAUGGAUAAGAGAAUUUCAUUACCAAGUACGCCUCUGUUUUACUUAACCAGCGUCUGCUGCAUAGCUCACAUAACCAGAGACUGAAACUCUUAACUUAGUUUUAAUACGCUACACAGAUGCAUGUCAAAUUGUUUGGUGCUGAGAAGUAUCCCACUGCUUUGACAUGCACUGACCUGAGAGUCAUUACAUCCAAGGAAGCACACUUCUAUAGAGCAAUCUUUCCAGUGACAAAAGAUUACUUUCCUGUUCACCAGGUGGUCGGUAGAAUGCUGCAUUCUGACUCGUCUGCUAAAAAAUUAUUUCUUAAAGAAAUUUCAUCCUUCUGCCAACAGUAGUAAAAAUAUGACUUAUUUUGUACAAGGUUAUGUAAGUUUAGCCAAGAGAAUACACUCAGAAGUAUCAAUUCCCAUACUAUUACACUUAGAUGUGUAGAUAUGAUCCAGACAGAGCUUCUCCAGCCCUAACUUAGUCUUUGGAUGAAAUAGUAACAAGAGAAUGAAAAGUAUUUUAUUGAUGAAGACUCUUGAGAUUGCCACACUUACAAGCUUAUAAACAGAAGGCCGUGUAAUGACAAACUUUUCAGAAUUUGAAUCUAAGCAUUGUCUGGGGAGAGAAAAGGCCAAGUUUCCAGAAAUCAGCAGCAUGCUGACCCAUGUCUUGCCUCUUUGUAGAUGAUUCAUUUAUGACUGUCGUCAUAUCUGCCAUCUUCUUUCUGCUUAAUGAUGUUGCCUAGCUUCCUUUACCUUAUUGUCUGGAUAAGUCAUCUCAGCACACACCCCAUGAGAUACCAGAUGAUUCUGUAGAAUUCUAGAAUGAAAACAGUUUGAUACUCUAAGUCCUAUUCUGAUAGAGAAGUGAGAACACACAUCUAUAGAAUUUUUACAAAGGUUCUAUCUUUCUAAUAGGACAACAUAUUUAAGAAAUUCUGAGGUUAUAGAUCCAGGCUGCCACAGCAACUUAUCCAGAUGAACUAGAGAACAAGUCACUGAUGAGACACCUCUCCCGACAUUAAUAGGAAAGCCUCACGUACUGGGAUGGAUGAGUAGAAAGCAAAUGGCAGAGGACAUCUUCUAUUUGUGAACUAGAAUGACAAAAAUGAAGCCUGGAUGGCCUAAUCCCACCAAGGUGCAUACCUUCUUCCAGUUACUUAAGGACCUGUUAUUAGUCCUUACCUAACAUCUCACAAGAACACGUUCCUGGGGUCAAGCCUUUAAAACCCUCCAGAGGAUGACCAGCUAAAUGUCAGACAAUGAAUUAAGUACUUUUAAAGAUUAGCACUCUCCAUCUUUCUUAAAUUUUUAAUUUAAAUAAAAUGUAAUGCUCUCAUAUGA